rnacentral:misc_RNA from 1 species
GAUGAAGAACGCAGCGAAAUGCGAUACGUAAUGUGAAUUGCAGAAUUCAGUGAAUCAUCGAGUCUUUGAACGCACAUUGCGCCCUCUGGUAUUCCGGGGGGCAUGCCUGUUCGAGCGUCAUUAUAACCACUCAAGCUUUCGCUUGGUAUUGGGGCUCGCGGUUCCGCGGCCCCUAAAAUCAGUGGCGGUGCCUGUCGGCUCUACGCGUAGUAAUACUCCUCGCGAUUGAGUCCGGUAGGUCUACUUGCCAGCAACCCCCAAUUUUUACAGGUUGACCUCGGAUCAGGUAGGGAUACCCGCUGAACUUAAGCAUAUCAAUAAGCGGAGGA